GACGUCGUCAGCGAAAAUCAGUCUUGUGUACGCUGACGUUUAUUUCGGGAAAUCGCGAGAUAAAAAUCUUGUACGAAAAUGCGCUGGAUAUUUCGUCUUUUUCAUACAAUUUCUCGGCUCAUAAUUUAUGACAUGCUUUGAAAAUUUCCACAAUAUAGCAUGAAUAUGUCCUUUAAACACUGGCACAAUUGGUUGUUUGUAAUCCGCUUAUUUAAUUCAAAUUAUUCCCCUUGAAAGACACUGUUUCGUUUGAGCAGUUCGCAGGUAGCGCAACCUGUCUCGUAGUGUUCAUUUUCAAUGGCUAUUAAACGCUGUAAAUCAAAAUGACAUCGUGUACUUAUGGAUGUCUUCAAUUGAAGAAGGUUCGGAAAUGAUAUUUCCACAUGCUUAAAAUAGGUUGGGAAGUUACGGUGUUGGCGAACAGCAUUCUCACUAUCAGUGUGACAACUGUUGCGGCCAAAAUAAAAACAACAUAGUCAUCUGGUACCUUCUGUGGAGAGUUCUUGUAGGUUUACACAGAAUCAUCACACUAAGCUUUAUGUUGAUAAGACAUACAAAGUUUACACCAGAUUGGCACUUUGGCAUCUGAAAGUCAAAGUGGAGGUAAAUUCCUUAUCACAGUAUGGUGUAUGUGACCUGCAUGAUCCUUCUUGAUAAACCUUGUUUGCAUUUCCAUAGGUCUAUCCAGUUGUAUAGUUCUGCCAUGUAAUAAAAUAUAAAAAUAAUAAAACAUAAAUCAAUUAAAAAUAGUGUGUAGGUACUUUAUGUCUUGUAACAGGAAAAUAAAUAUUCAUUUUAAUAGUUUCAGCUGUUUUAUUGGUAUGAAAUUCUUGAUAUGGCAAACAAAAUCCCAUGCAAAAUCAUCCUUCAAACUUUGUAGUUUUCUAUUACAAAAACAACAACAACAAAAUAAUAAUUUGAUAGUAGGAAAACUAUAUUUUGCAAUUGUUUCUUAAUUAAAUGGUAAUCUUGAUACAGAAACUUCAAUGCAGAAAUGUUGUCUGAUGUCGAUGCGUCUGUGGGGUUAUCGUCAAGGACGGGCCACAACAUUCCCCAGCUUGUGGGGGACUCUUCCAAGCCUGUUGUUAUCUAAGACAGGAAGGAUUACCUUACCACAUUGUUUCACCACAUAAAGAAUGUCACCAAAUUUCAUCAAUUUCUAUGUGUCAGCGGAGCAUCCCGGUGUUGUGGAAUGCAGGGAAUUUAGUGACUCACCAGUAGUCAGAAUCACUCUCCGAAAGGUCUCGAAAGUGAAUGUUAAUGUGAGCUGUGACAACCUGCCAUAUGAAAUGUUUGCAAAAGGGCUUGAUCUGGACCAUCAGUGGUAUUUAUUUGAAAACAUUCGUGAAUUCUGUCGCAUAGAUGAACCAAAAACUUGACAUGUCCGAAACGCGCUACUGGUGAGCAACAAAAACCAGACUGUGCCCCCAAAAAAAGAAGAUGCAUUAAGAUGCGCAUCUGAUCUUCUCUGAUGGUGCCACAACAAUUACAUACAUCAUGUAUCAGUGUUUAUUUUGGCCAAGGUAUUGGGUGAUAUAUUUUCCCACAAACAAUGCAAAAAAUCCUCUAUUCCUAGGAAAGCUAAAACAUUAUACGAUUGCUAAAUGUGUCAGUUGAUACAGGUUUUGAAAUGUUCAAUGCAAAUUUUUGUCUUAAUUGCACAAGCUUGUUUUCAAGUUUUUUAUAUCUCAUAUUUACAAAACGAAAAUCAUUUUUUUCCAUGUAGAUCUAACCAUGCAAUUGUUUUUACCUUAUGGACACAGACUGCCUAUCAGAAAAACUGGAAAAAAAUCAGUGUGAAUAUUGUAUUUAUUUAUGUUUUACAAUGAAAAUCCUAUAUUUUUGUUUGUUUGCUACAUUGUUUCCAUAGUAACAAAAACAAACAAUUUUUAUGUUUACGUUAUUGUUUAUUUUGUCUAUAUUUCUCUAUCAGAAAUAAUGAUAAAUAAUGAUUAUUUCAUUUACUGAAACAUUUAGUAUCCAAGUGUACUUUCAACCAACACUUUUCAAUGCUGUGUUUUUCCAUUCUGUUGUGUUUGAGGUUACAUUAUACUUAAAUACACAUGUAACUGAAUAAAAAAAGGAAAUUGUUCAUGGAACACACACAUUAUUGAUUGUUAUUGUUUAACUAGUUACAAAACAGUGAAAGUAAUGUUGUGUUUGCCUUUAAACAAACACUUGAUUGAAAAUACAAUUAAUAGAUUAAUAAAAGGCGUGAUUGUGUGCUCUGGUGAUUAUUAACAUGUAGAUUAGUUACCAUAGCAACACAAAUGGUACAUUUUAAAUGUCCAUGAUGCUGUUGUCAGUUUAUUGCACUAUAAAUAUGCAUUUGACUAAAGGAAAGAUUAUUGUUUUAAUAAAACAAUGUGCUUGUUGUUUGAAAA